rnacentral:rRNA from 1 species
GACGAACGCUGGCGGCGAGCCUAAUACAUGCAAGUCGAACGAACCGCGACUAAGUGCUUGCACUAAGUCAAGGUGAGUGGCGAACGGGUGAGUAACACGUGGGUAACCUACCUCAUAGUGGGGGAUAACAGUCGGAAACGACUGCUAAUACCGCAUAGGACAUAGGAUCACAUGAUCCAGUGAGGAAAGGUGGCGCAAGCUAUCGCUAAGAGAUGGACCCGCGGUGCAUUAGCUAGUUGGUAGGGUAAAGGCCUACCAAGGCGAUGAUGCAUAGCCGACCUGAGAGGGUGAUCGGCCACAUUGGGACUGAGACACGGCCCAAACUCCUACGGGAGGCAGCAGUAGGGAAUCUUCCGCAAUGGACGCAAGUCUGACGGAGCAACGCCGCGUGAGUGAAGAAGGUCUUCGGAUCGUAAAGCUCUGUUGUUAGAGAAGAACAGCGCAUAGAGUAACUGCUAUGCGUGUGACGGUAUCUAACCAGAAAGCCACGGCUAACUACGUG